rnacentral:misc_RNA from 1 species
GCAAACUUGGUCAUUUAGAGGAAGUAAAAGUCGUAACAAGGUUUCCGUAGGUGAACCUGCGGAAGGAUCAUUAACAGAGAUCGGCGCCGCCCCUCACCGGGCGCGCGCACCUUCCAACCCCUUGAAUCGUCACACCCGACCCGGUCGCUCCCCCCGCUCGCGGGGGGCGCUCCAGUCCAACUCGCGUCUCGAAACGUUGCCGUCUGAGUCGACACGACAAAUCAAUCAAAACUUUCAACAACGGAUCUCUUGGUUCUGGCAUCGAUGAAGAACGCAGC